UGCAGUCGAGCGAUUUACUUCGGUAAAGAGCGGCGGACGGGUGAGUAACGCGUGGGUAACCUGCCUCAUACACAUGGAUAACAUACCGAAAGGUAUGCUAAUACAGGAUAAUAUAAGAGAUUCACAUGGAUUUCUUAUCAAAGCUCCGGCGGUAUGAGAUGGACCCGCGUCUGAUUAGCUAGUUGGUAAGGUAAUGGCUUACCAAGGCGACGAUCAGUAGCCGACCUGAGAGGGUGAUCGGCCACAUUGGAACUGAGACACGGUCCAAACUCCUACGGGAGGCAGCAGUGGGGAAUAUUGCACAAUGGGCGAAAGCCUGAUGCAGCAACGCCGCGUGAGUGAUGAAGGCCUUCGGGUCGUAAAACUCUGUCCUCAAGGAAGAUAAUGACGGUACUUGAGGAGGAAGCCCCGGCUAACUACGUGCCAGCAGCCGCGGUAAUACGUAGGGGGCUAGCGUUAUCCGGAUUUACUGGGGCGUAAAGGGUGCGUAGGUGGUUUUUUAAGUCAGGAGUGAAAGGCUACGGCUCAACCGUAGUAAGCUCUUGAAACUGGAAAACUUGAGUGCAGGAGAGGAAAGUGGAAUUCCUAGUGUAGCGGUGAAAUGCGUAGAUAUUAGGAGGAACACCAGUAGCGAAGGCGGCUUUCUGGACUGUAACUGACACUGAGCACGAAAGCGGUGGGGGAGCAAACAGGAUUAGAUACCCUGGUAGUCACGCGUAAACGAUGAGUACUAGUGUCGGGGUACCCCCCUCGU
rnacentral:rRNA from 1 species